UACGUAGGGUGCAAGCGUUGUCCGGAAUUAUUGGGCGUAAAGAGCUCGUAGGCGGUUUGUCGCGUCUGCUGUGAAAACUCGGGGCUUAACUCCGGGCCUGCAGUGGGUACGGGCAGACUAGAGUGCGGUAGGGGAGACUGGAAUUCCUGGUGUAGCGGUGAAAUGCGCAGAUAUCAGGAGGAACACCAGCGGCGAAGGCGGCGCUCUGGGCCGGUACUGACGCUGAGGAGCGAAAGCGUGGGUAGCAAACAGG
rnacentral:rRNA from 1 species